GUAGGACUACCCGCUGAACUUAAGCAUAUCAAUAAGCGGAGGAAAAGAAACUAACAAGGAUUCCCCUAGUAACUGCGAGUGAAGCGGGAAAAGCUCAAAUUUAGAAUCUGGCAGCCUACGGUUGUCCGAGUUGUAGCCUAGAGAAGCGUUUUCUGCGUUGGACCAUGUACAAGUCCCUUGGAACAGGGCGUCAUAGAGGGUGAGAAUCCCGUACUUGACAUGGACUCCCAGGGCUAUGUGAUGCGCUCUCGAAGAGUCGGGUUGUUUGGGAAUGCAGCUCUAAAUGGGUGGUAAAUUCCAUCUAAAGCUAAAUAUUGGCGAGAGACCGAUAGCGAACAAGUACCGUGAGGGAAAGACGAAAAGCACUUUGGAAAGAGAGUUAAACAGUACGUGAAAUUGUUGAAAGGGAAACGCUUGAAGUCAGUCGCGUCGGCCGGGACUCAGCCUUGAACGGAGCACUUCCCGGUGGACGGGCCAGCAUCAGUUUUGAUCGUCGGAAAAGGGUUUGAGGAAUGUGGCAUCUUCGGGUGUGUUAUAGCCUCUUGCCGCACGCGACGGUUGGGACUGAGGAUCGCAGCUUCGGCUUAGGAUGCUGGCGUAAUGGCUUUAAACGACCCGUCUUGAAACACGGACC
rnacentral:rRNA from 1 species